rnacentral:rRNA from 1 species
GAUGAACGCUGGCGGCGUGCUUAACACAUGCAAGUCGAACGAAGCACUUUACCUGAUUUCCUUCGGGGAUGAUUGUUCUGUGACUGAGUGGCGGACGGGUGAGUAACGCGUGGAUAACCUGCCUCACACAGGGGGAUAACAGUUGGAAACGACUGCUAAUACCGCAUAAGCGCACAGUACCGCAUGGUACAGUGUGAAAAACUCCGGUGGUGUGAGAUGGAUCCGCGUCUGAUUAGCUUGUUGGCGGGGUAACGGCCCACCAAGGCGACGAUCAGUAGCCGGCCUGAGAGGGCGACCGGCCACAUUGGGACUGAGACACGGCCCAGACUCCUACGGGAGGCAGCAGUGGGGAAUAUUGCACAAUGGGGGAAACCCUGAUGCAGCGACGCCGCGUGAGCGAUGAAGUAUUUCGGUAUGUAAAGCUCUAUCAGCAGGGAAGAUAAUGACGGUACCUGACUAAGAAGCUCCGGCUAAAUACGUGCCAGCCGCCGCGGUAA